AUGAUUGCCUAUCAGUCUUCUUGAUAUCACUCUCACACCUUCAACAAUAAGGUUUGUUAAUUUGCGUUGCCUCCACUGUUUUAGCAAAAACACAGUACAUAACCAUGCAGAGCCUAGACAGACAGACAGAGUGGUUAACAGUUUUUGUUUUAAAACAUUCUAUGACAAAGUGAAGAAACAGCAGGAAGAAUAAAUAUUUAUAACCCAUAGAACACUUCUCACUGUGUUUUAUGAAGGUAAAUUGGUUGCUGGGUUUUAAAUAGAGUACUUGACAGAUGGGUUUUAAGUGUUUCUCUCCAGCAAAAGAACUUGCAAUAUGCUUUAAUGGAAUGGUGAGAGAACAGAGGGAGUGAGGGAGCUGCCUGCAGGAGACCUUAAGCCUGGAGCAGGCUUGCUAACUGAGCCAGCCAGAGACACCAGGCACAGUAAAGGAACCUCCAGCGGCUGGUUUCUUAUAAGAAAACUGAAAGCAAAAGCCACAAGGGAGUCAGCUUGGGGAGGGAGCGACAGGCUGGUAAGAGAGGUUCUGUGAAGGAAACUUUUCCUGUUCCCCCAGGCUCUGAGGAAGGAGCCAUGCCCUGGGACAGAUUUUUGGGGACACUGAGUGACUGGGGAAAUUCCUUUUUGUGUUUGCUUUCAAUAACUUUGUAAACAAGGAAAACCAGACUUAAAGAAGGGCUGUUAUUGAAAGAGAAAGACUGUGAAGUUUCUUAAAGAUGCCUUGAAGAAGGGGGAAAUACAGAUGGGGGCACUGCAGAGGCAUUCCUGGCCACAAGGGGGCACUUGGGUGGUGGCCACCCCAUGACAGGGACAUUAAGUACAGGGGGAGUCGCAUCUUAUGCAUGGGUUAGGUUCUGAAGUCACCACGUGAGGCAAAAAUCGCCUAUAGUCAAACGUUCAUUGAGUGGAAUGGCGGGUGGAAUAAUUCAUACUACAGGGAAACUGUUAACUGCCCAGUCUAUUACAAAACAUCUUUGGAGAUGCUGGAUUACAGUGAUGGGCAUUUGAGGAAGGUGGGGAAAGGGAGGGGACAUAAAAAUCUAUGGCUUCCUCUAGACAACAGGAGAAAAGGCUAAGAGAAAAGAUGGCCAAUCAUGGAGCUGUCACAGCAGAAGCAUUCCACCAAAACUGGAAAGCAGAUGCAAAAUCAUGGGGCAUGGCUCUUCUGUUGAACAACACUGAUAGCAGAUGUUAGACCCUUGCAUAAAGUUGCUGACUGCUGUCUACUGAAGAUUUGUACCAAAUGCAUCUCAUUAAAUCCAUUCCGGAUAUGGGGAGAUGGUAGGGGCCCUGUAGGCCAAAGAAGCUACACUCUGAGACAGAGUUCCUACACGCAGAACCGCAGCAACAGUCAAUUUAGGGAAAAAGCUUUGGCUGGGAUUUCAGCUACACUAUUAAAAACAUAAGAAUGACCAUACUGGGUCAGACCAAAGGUCCAUCCAGCCCAGUAUCCUGUCUACCAACAGUGGCCAGUGCCAGGUAAUUCAGAGGUAUUAUUUACCUUAUUAAUUAAGAAACCCCAAGAAGAAGGUGAUUUUGCCUAUAGGAAAUGUGAGCAAAGUUUGGUGGGAGGAGGGUGAGACCAUCGCCUGAACCUAAGACCAUUUCACACAAAUUUUGGCAUCUGUUAGUUCACCAAAAUAAAUUAAUAAAUGAGAAGAUCAGGGGAAGAGUUAGAAAUAAAUCUGUGCAGACUUUUGGCUCCAGCAGCAGCUACUUUAAUUUUAUUUGUCAUUAUGUACCAAACUUUUUCAAAGAUCACAUGGAAAUUCAAUAGUGAAGUUACCUUCAUUCAAGAAUGCCAAAGAACUGCCUAAACAUUAAUUAAACCUUACUACCACCCGGCUACUGAGCAAGCAGUGAAUCUGGGCUCUUAGAAAGAAAGUGAAGCUUGAGACUGAUAUAAAAACUACUAUACACGUAGAAAAGGCCAAAAUGACUCCCUUUCUUCAUAAACAGGAAAAACAAAAUUAACAUUGAGCUAUUGCUGUGAUUCCAGUUAUCUAACAACUUCCAUGUGACAUGUGUCUUAAUGGAGCUAGUUGGUGCUCUAGAGGGAUCACUGUUUUCUAGGAUGCCAGGGCAGAGCAUCACCAGUGGAUGUGGCUUUGAAGGCUAGAUAAACCAGACACUUAUAUCAUAGCCAAGAUUGCCAAGCAAUUAUGUAACAUUAUUGAAAUGGGGGAUUUGACAGAAUAAAUCUUCCCAAGUGAAAAACAAAUGAAGGGCAAAUAAAAUGAAGCAGAAUGGAAGUCACAAAGUGUAUUAGAAAAUCAAAAGCAAUGAAGAGAAAGAAAUAGUGCAUAUUUGGGGGUGGGUGAGCUUAAACUGCUGAAAUAAGAACACCAGGGAGAAGACUGUUCAGUAAUAACUAAUAUAUCAUUUGAUAAACACAAGCUGUUUUUGGUUGAUACAAUAUAUAUAAUAGGAUCAACUCCAGAAUCAGGUACUGUGUCUUUAAUUAGACUGCUAAUGGUUAUGUCAGUGAAUGAGUCAUUUUAAAAACUAAAUUGACUAACACUGUUUUAUUUAGUCUUGUGUAAGAAACAUUUCAACACCCCACACACAGAUUAGUUCAUUUUCUGGGAACUAUAAUAUAAUCUGAAAACAAGAGAUCAACUCAAUGCCAUUAAUGCCUGGUGAGUUUAAAACAAAUGAAAAAGGAAAUACUUCCCACCGUAUACACAUAUCCUAUGUAAUUCACCAGUACAGGAGGUCAUGGGGUGGAGAUGAAUUGUUAAAAGAGCUGAAUAGCUUACCAUUAAUGACACGUAGCUAUUCAUGCUAAGUAAGUGUGGUAAUGUCCCUUGCUUCAAAGCAUAAGCAUAUAAUCUUUAAGGGUAAGGAAGGAACUUUCUUCUUUCCCCUUUCACACACUAAACUAUUAAGUCUAUGCAUUUCCUCUGAAGUAAUGGCCACUGGCAGAGGCAGGAUAACCAGAUUUGAUGAAUGAGUGAAUCAUCCACUAUGGCAAAUCCUGUAUGCUUUAGUUAAACAUCCACAACUCUCACUUCAUAGUGCCAUACUUGACAAAUCUCCAUAUCACCACCUCCAUUGCUCUCAGAACACUGCACUGUAGCAAAGCCUUGAUAUCAAAAUGCUAUAUAUUUAUGUCUACAAGAGACCAGAAAGUUACCAAAUAGGGAUGUAUUGAAUGUGAUGUGUUUAAUAACCACAUGUGAUAGUUGGUAUCUGUUGAAAGUAGAAUAUUAAUUUCCAAGAUUCCGACCCUGUAAAUCUUUUUGUAUCAAGCUCUUAGCAAGGAGUAAAAAAGACACUUGCUCCUACUGA